rnacentral:lncRNA from 1 species
AAUAAUAAAUAACAACAACAAAUAAAUAAAUAGCAAUGAGGCUCGGUUCACGCCGUCGCUUCAAGAAUGGGACUUUAACCCAUUUCCCUUCUUUCGACUCCUUGUAUCCAUAUGCGUUUUGUCUUUUUGGGUCUUCAAAUUCGACUCAAGACUAGGUGGGCCUCAAUGGCCCAUAAGGAACAUGCAAAGGGAAAGGGAGUCUGUGCGAGACUCGAGCGUAGCCACAUGCAAAAGGAAAGAAAAGGAAUUAAUGUGUGCUAACAUUAAUGAAUAAGAAAAAAUUCUAAGAUAUCAUGCAUCUUCCUCAAGAGUAGGCAAUAAACUAUAUCAAAGCUAGUUUAACAACGACAAAUUCAUCUUUG